rnacentral:rRNA from 1 species
UACAGAGGGUGCGAGCGUUGUUCGGAAUUAUUGGGCGUAAAGGGCGCGUAGGCGGUGCGGUAAGUCACCUGUGAAAUCUCCUGGCUCAACUGGGAGCUUGCAGGCGAAACUGCCGUGCUGGAGUGUGGGAGAGGUGCGUGGAAUUCCUGGUGUAGCGGUGAAAUGCGUAGAUAUCAGGAGGAACACCUGUGGCGAAAGCGGCGCACUGGACCUCAACUGACGCUGAGGCGCGAAAGCUAGGGGAGCAAACAGG